rnacentral:rRNA from 1 species
ACAGCAGUAGCCGCGGUAAUACGUAGGGUGCGAGCGUUAAUCGGAAUUACUGGGCGUAAAGCGAGCGCAGACGGUUACUUAAGCAGGAUGUGUAAUCCCCGGGCUCAACCUGGGAACUGCGUUCUGAACUGGGUGACUAGAGUGUGUCAGAGGGAGGUGGAAUUCCACGUGUAGCAGUGAAACGCGUAGAGAUGUGGAGGAAUACCGAUGGCGAAGGCAGCCUCCUGGGGUAACACUGACGUUCAUGCUCGAAAGCGUGGGUAGCAAACAGGAUUAGAUACCCCGGUAGUCCCUGUCUCUUAUAC